CCUGCCAUACCGUCCCACAAGAGACCCUGGCUACUGCCGUACAUCUGGAAGACAAUUUCGACCAAUUAAAGGAGCUGAGAAUCAUUUAAGAGUGGGAUGGCUGUUUGAUCACGUCUCUGACUGCUCUCCUGCUCCGGCUACAGUUGACUGGCUGCAGACUGACAGGUCCGGAGAGGAGCACUGAUGCCAUACCCAUGCCCUCUUCUCAUCCUCCUCUCUCGCUCUCUCUCCCCCGAAAGAUGUGCAUUACCGUGGCUUGUCAUCACCCACGGAACACAGACACAGGUACAAUAGGAUACACUGCAAUGCUGAACCACUAAACAGGUUGACGAACUAGAUCAAACACAGGACUGGUGAUGCUUAGGAAUGUGAUUUAUAUAAGAACAAGACAUGUUUAAAAAUGGGAUUAGGAAUAUAACACCAAAUUCACAAUAGAGUGUACACAAGACAAAAAUGUUGAAUGUGUAAAAGCAAUUGUUUGAGCUAAGUGAAACGUGAUAGCUUGUCAUACAAUUCAUUGAAUUCUUGCUUAAUUAAUUAUGAUGAUAAUAAUAAUAAAUAAAAUAAAAAUAUAUAUAUUUCCCCCACAUUUUGUAGCAGACAGUCAACUACCAGUCAAGUAUCUCCAGGACAACACACACAGGAGCUGCAACUACAUACCAGUUUAUUGAAAGUCACUUUUGACCUCCAAUAUCUAAUGACUCCAUUCAUCUGAGAAGAGGUCACCACGAGAGGAAGAUCUCCUCCCCCCCCCCNNNNNNNNNNNNAAGCUACAUAAAGGGUAGCCGGUAUCUUAGAUGUUAGAGCCAACAAGGUGAAAAAUCUGUUGAUGCAAGGCACUUAAACCUAAUUUGCUCCAGGGGCUCCGUACUACUAUGGCUGACCCUGUAAAACAACACAUUUCACUGCACCUCUCCAGUAUAUGUGACAAUAAAACCUUUAUUUAAAACUAUUCAUUUUUCCACAGUCUUGGAUCUCACUGGGAGAACAAGCAUUGAAAGAGGCAAGCAGCGCCUGUUGAAU
rnacentral:lncRNA from 13 species